rnacentral:rRNA from 1 species
UACGUAGGGUGCGAGCGUUAAUCGGAAUUACUGGGCGUAAAGUGUGCGCAGGCGGCCGCGCAAGUCGAGUGUGAAAGCCCCGGGCUUAACUUGGGAAUUGCGCUCGAAACUACGUGGCUGGAGUGUGGCAGAGGGAGGUGGAAUUCCACGUGUAGCGGUGAAAUGCGUAGAUAUAGGAAGGAACACCAGUGGCGAAGGCGACCACCUGGACUGAUACUGACACUGAGGUGCGAAAGCGUGGG